rnacentral:rRNA from 1 species
UACGGGGGGGGGCAAGCGUUGUUCGGAAUUACUGGGCGUAAAGGGCUCGUAGGCGGCCAACUAAGUCGGACGUGAAAUCCCUCGGCUCAACCGAGGAACUGCGUCCGAUACUGGCAGGCUGGAAUCCGGGAGAGGGAUGUGGAAUUCCAGGUGUAGCGGUGAAAUGCGUAGAUAUCUGGAGGAACACCGGUGGCGAAGGCGGCAUCCUGGACCGGUAUUGACGCUGAGGCGCGAAAGCUAGGGGAGCAAACGGG